UACACACCGCCCGUCACACCAUGGGAGUUGGUUCUACCUGAAGACGGUGCGCUAACCGCAAGGAGGCAGCCGGCCACGGUAGGUCAGCGACUGGGGUG
rnacentral:rRNA from 1 species